AAUACGCAUUUUAUCGGAUGUCCCAACAAGCUGCCUCGCCUGUCAGGAGGAACACAGACGAUCAAUCAAGUUAUGAGAAAAGCAACCACACACUGCAUUUGAAUUUCCAAAUUCAAUCAUGCAAAGUAGAGAUAAGUCCUGACUUAUAUUUCAUGUAAUUAUAACCAUCCCCUUAACUUCACCGAAUAUUUUUAUUAUAAAAAUACAUGCUGUAUCAUUCAACUGCAUACAACGGCACUUGGCCACCUCUACUGUCAUAUCUAUGCCAGAGAAUGGGUCAAAACAAAGUAUAUUUUUAAGGACAAGAAGAUUAAAAAAUUUAAAAACUCAUUCAGAACUCAACAUAUGACGAUUACUACUUUGCAGACGCAUUUUACUGUUCUCGGCUCGACUAGGGCACUCUCACUCGCAGUUAGUCCCUGCCCCUCCUUCUUAAAAGAGCCUGACAUAUUAUGGCCAAGCAACCCCGAUUCCCUCGGCACGGGCCUUGAAUAGCAGAGCUAGAAUGAAUCCCAAAAGAUGGAAGAGUCUAAGACGCAAACAAGGUAAAAGAAAAAAAGGGGGAGGGGGGGACAAGACCCGCCCAACUCUCUCAAGCCCACCUCUCCUUCAAUGGACUACAUAAACCUGAAAAGGAAAUAAACAAAAAAGGAACACCAAGAGAAAGCAACUAAGGCUCCCUUACUCUCUGCAUUCUCGGGCCCAAUUCUCUACCGAAGCUCUCGGCCCACCCCACCCCCAGGGGUCCCGGCGCCAUUUAGCUCCUCCGAAGCCGCCGCCAUUUUCCGCCCCCGCCGGAUCGCUGCUGCGCCUCGGCGGCCGCUCGCUACCCCACUCAGUAGCCCGAGCCACUGCCGCGGGCCGGGCCCCGAGAGGGAGGCCCUGGCCUGAGCGUGCGGGAACGGCAGCUUCAGCGUCACGAAGGCCCAGCUCCGACCCCGCCCGCGGUGCCCGGGCGCCCGGAGCCUGCGCCGGCCGGCGGGAACAGGAUGGCAGCAAGGGGGCCGGACAGGCUCCACUGGGCGGAGCGGCCCUGGCGGCGGUUGGGACCUGAAGGUUCCAUCGCACUUACUUCCUGUUUUGGGUCCGGGCACUUUGGAAGAACCAGGAUGGAGGCUCCAAAAAAUACCAGGAUGGAGGAAGCAGCCACGGGCAAGAGUGGCUGCAGCUGGAGUGAGCGAGCGCGACGAGCCACCGGAAACGGAGCUACGGCCGCGCCCCGCCCCCAGCCCCCGCACGCUCCCCCUCCCGCGCUCCGCUCCCUCGGGACUGCUGUGUCUGUUGGCUGCUCGCGUCACUUCCGACCAAGUCGGAGCGCGAAAAAAGGUCUCGGGAAAGAUGGGGCAAUUUUCCCAGAAGACCAAACAGAAUGACGAUCCUCUAAAGAAGGACCAUAACAAUCUAAAGACUGCAUUUACCUGAAUUGACCAUGUUGAGGACCACACGGUAUGUUUUAAGGGUUGGGCCAGAAAGUGAGAUAUAUCACCAGCCAUAUGUCUUUGGCCCACACUAGCUACACAGUCUGACCUACAUGCCAAGGGUGGGGAAAUAUGAUCUUCCUAUUG
ensembl:lncRNA